CACACCACACGCUACACUGUCGCCUAACACCAUCGCCACUGCUCCAGCCCUUCUUAUCGUCGCCACUGUUGCCGCCCACUUCGAGGUCGUCUUCGCCAGCCGCCGCAACAGUCAGCCGUCGCCCCUUUCAACUUCGUAUUCGCCAGCUGCCCCAAGCCGUCGCGUUGCGUCGCCGCAAAAGCUUCACCGGACAUCGCCUCGCCGCACCUGGUAGCCGGAAGUCACCUCGCCGCACACUGCGAUAUAUUAGGUAGUCUACUUGCAUACUUGUGGAACUUUAUCAGGAAAAAUGUCGGCAUAUGAAAAUGUAGUUGUUGGAAAGUUGAAGCUAAAGGGCAAGGCUCUAGAUGUGAAGUCUGGAGGUGCCAAAAAGAAGAAGCACAAGAAGCUGCGUGAUCGUGAUCAUGUGUUCCGAGUCACAACAGCGCAAUGGAUACAAAGAAGAUGAAGAUGGAAACUGAAGAUUAUUAUAUCAUUUGCUUAUAAAGAUAUCAAACUGACCAAUAUUGAAGUUGCUUUCCAAGCUGGUGAAUUUCUCUUUAUCUUCUUCCAGGCUGCUCCUAAUUGUAUUGUGAUAAAGCAGUAGUAUUCAUAGUAUUACUAAUAGUGCCAAUAAACUGAUAAUAACAUGAAGAAGAUAGUCAGGGCAAACCUUUUUAUAUUGA